GAUGAACGCUGGCGGCGUGCCUAACACAUGCAAGUCGAACGAGGCAAAUAAGAUGAAGUUUUCGGAUGGAUUCUUAUUUACCGAGUGGCGGACGGGUGAGUAACGCGUGGGUAACCUGCCUCAUACAGGGGGAUAACGAUUGGAAACGAUUGCUAAUACCGCAUAAGCGCACAGUACCACAUGGUGCAGUGUGAAAAACUCCGGUGGUAUGAGAUGGACCCGCGUCUGAUUAGCUAGUUGGUGAGGUAACGGCCCACCAAGGCAACGAUCAGUAGCCGACCUGACGAGGGUGACCGGCCACAUUGGGACUGAGACAGGCCCAGACUCCUACGGGAGGCAGGC
rnacentral:rRNA from 1 species